AUGGCCAAGCAUCCUGGUUUGUCUGGGACUGAGGAGUUACCAGGACACUGGCCUUGAAGCUCUAAAACCAGGAAAGUUCUAGGU
rnacentral:miRNA from 1 species